GCCAGACUCCUACGGGAGGCAGCAGUGGGGGAUAUUGCACAAUGGGGGGAACCCUGAUGCAGCGACGCCGCGUGAGGGAAGACGGUUUUCGGAUUGUAAACCUCUGUCUUUAGGGACGAAACAAAUGACGGUACCUAAAGAGGAAGCCACGGCUAACUACGUGCCAGCAGCCGCGGUAAUACGUAGGUGGCAAGCGUUGUCCGGAAUUACUGGGUGUAAAGGGAGCGUAGGCGGGAAGCCAAGUCAGCUGUGAAAACUACGGGCUUAACCUGUAGACUGCAGUUGAAACUGGCUUUCUUGAGUGAAGUAGAGGUUGGCGGAAUUCCGAGUGUAGCGGUGAAAUGCGUAGAUAUUCGGAGGAACACCGGUGGCGAAGGCGGCCAACUGGGCUUUAACUGACGCUGAGGCUCGAAAGUGUGGGGAGCAAACAGGAUUAGAUACCCGAGUA
rnacentral:rRNA from 1 species